UACGGAGGGGGCUAGCGUUGUUCGGAAUUACUGGGCGUAAAGCGCGCGUAGGCGGCUUGGUAAGUUAGAGGUGAAAGCCUGGGGCUCAACCCCAGAAUUGCCUUUAAGACUGCCGAGCUAGUAGGUGAGAGAGGUAAGUGGAAUUCCGAGUGUAGAGGUGAAAUUCGUAGAUAUUCGGAAGAACACCAGUGGCGAAGGCGGCUUACUGGCUCAUUCUAGACGCUGAGGUGCGAAAGCGUGGGGAGCAAACAGG
rnacentral:rRNA from 1 species